GAAGUGGGGAAAUGUUCCAUUUGAUCAUCACUUGGACAUGGUUGGUUAGUCGAUCCUAAGAUAUGGGGAAUCCAUGUAUCAAGUGUGCACUCUGCAUGAACAUCGAAAGAGAAUUGGGUUAAUAUUCCUAAAUUGGGACAUGGUGGUGGAUGAAAAUGUUAGGAAAUAUGGAGAUGUCAUCGGGGGCCUGGGAAGAGUUAUCUUUUCUUUUUAAUAACUUUCCCACCCUGAAAUUGGUUCAACCAGAGAUAGGGUCCAACAUUUGAAAGAGCACCACAUGUCUUGUGGUGUUUGGUUUCCCCUCGGUGGCCAUUAUAAAUAUGGUGAACCGAGUACCAUCCAUACCUGAUCGUACUCAUAUCUGCCUCCUUUGGUUUUUCAAUGUCCACUAGGUUAGCGAUCUUG
rnacentral:ncRNA from 1 species